rnacentral:rRNA from 1 species
GUUGACUGCCGGUGACAAACCGGAGGAAGGUGGGGAUGACGUCAAAUCAUCAUGCCCCUUAUGAUUUGGGCUACACACGUGCUACAAUGGACAAUACAAAGGGCAGCGAAACCGCGAGGUCAAGCAAAUCCCAUAAAGUUGUUCUCAGUUCGGAUUGUAGUCUGCAACUCGACUACAUGAAGCUGGAAUCGCUAGUAAUCGUAGAUCAGCAUGCUACGGUGAAUACGUUCCCGGGUCUUGUACACACCGCCCGUCACACCACGAGAGUUUGUAACACCCGAAGCCGGUGGAGUAACCUUUUAGGAGCUAGCCGUCGAAGGUGGGACAAAUGAUUGGGGUGAAGUCGUAACAAGGUAGCCGUAUCGGAAGGUGCGGCUGGAUCACCUCCUUU